GCAGCUCAGUCGGUAGAGUGCAAGACUCUUAAUCUCAGGGUUGUGGGUUCGAGCUCCACGUUGGGCA